GAUGAACGCUGGCGGCGUGCCUAAUACAUGCAAGUCGAGCGAACGGACGAGAAGCUUGCUUCUCUGAUGUUAGCGGCGGACGGGUGAGUAACACGUGGAUAACCUACCUAUAAGACUGGGAUAACUUCGGGAAACCGGAGCUAAUACCGGAUAAUAUUUUGAACCGCAUGGUUCAAAAGUGAAAGACGGUCUUGCUGUCACUUAUAGAUGGAUCCGCGCUGCAUUAGCUAGUUGGUAAGGUAACGGCUUACCAAGGCAACGAUGCAUAGCCGACCUGAGAGGGUGAUCGGCCACACUGGAACUGAGACACGGUCCAGACUCCUACGGGAGGCAGCAGUAGGGAAUCUUCCGCAAUGGGCGAAAGCCUGACGGAGCAACGCCGCGUGAGUGAUGAGGGUCUUCGGAUCGUAUAACUCUGUUAUUAGGGAAGAACAUAUGUGUAAGUAACUGUGCACAUCUUGACGGUACCUAAUCAGAAAGCCACGGCUAACUACGUGCCAGCAGCCGCGGUAAUACGUAGGUGGCAAGCGUUAUCCGGAAUUAUUGGGCGUAAAGCGCGCGUAGGCGGUUUUUUAAGUCUGAUGUGAAAGCCCACGGCUCAACCGUGGAGGGUCAUUGGAAACUGGAAAACUUGAGUGCAGAAGAGGAAAGUGGAAUUCCAUGUGUAGCGGUGAAAUGCGCAGAGAUAUGGAGGAACACCAGUGGCGAAGGCGACUUUCUGGUCUGUAACUGACGCUGAUGUGCGAAAGCGUGGGGAUCAAACAGGAUUAGAUACCCUGGUAGUCCACGCCGUAAACGAUGAGUGCUAAGUGUUAGGGGGUUUCCGCCCCUUAGUGCUGCAGCUAACGCAUUAAGCACUCCGCCUGGGGAGUACGACCGCAAGGUUGAAACUCAAAGGAAUUGACGGGGACCCGCACAAGCGGUGGAGCAUGUGGUUUAAUUCGAAGCAACGCGAAGAACCUUACCAAAUCUUGACAUCCUUUGACAACUCUAGAGAUAGAGCUUUCCCCUUCGGGGGACAAAGUGACAGGUGGUGCAUGGUUGUCGUCAGCUCGUGUCGUGAGAUGUUGGGUUAAGUCCCGCAACGAGCGCAACCCUUAAGCUUAGUUGCCAUCAUUAAGUUGGGCACUCUAAGUUGACUGCCGGUGACAAACCGGAGGAAGGUGGGGAUGACGUCAAAUCAUCAUGCCCCUUAUGAUUUGGGCUACACACGUGCUACAAUGGACAAUACAAAGGGCAGCGAAACCGCGAGGUCAAGCAAAUCCCAUAAAGUUGUUCUCAGUUCGGAUUGUAGUCUGCAACUCGACUACAUGAAGCUGGAAUCGCUAGUAAUCGUAGAUCAGCAUGCUACGGUGAAUACGUUCCCGGGUCU
rnacentral:rRNA from 1 species